UCCCUAGUGGCUCAGAGGGUAAAGCAUCUGCCUGCAAUGCAGGAGACCCAGGUUCGCUCCCUGGAUCAGGAA
rnacentral:tRNA from 1 species